GGGCAUUUUAUGCUCUGUAAUUGGAAUGAUGGGAAUGUAAAACCCUUCCAGAGUAACAAUUGGAGGGCAAGUCUGGUGCCAGCAGCCGCGGUAAUUCCAGCUCCAAUAGUGUAUAUUAGAGUUGUUGCAGUUAAAAAGCUCGUAGUUGGAUUUCUGCUGUGGUCAUCCGGUACCGCCCGUAUGGGUGCGCACCUGGUUUGGCUCCGGCUUUCUUCCUGUAGCCGUCCGCGCUUAAUUGCGUGUGCUGUGUUACGGAACUUUUACUUUGAGAAAAAUAGAGUGUUUCAAGCAGGCUUGUCGCCCUGAAUACUUCAGCAUGGAAUAAUAGGAUAGGACCUUGGUUCUAUUUUGUUGGUUUCUAGGACCAAGGUAAUGAUUAAUAGGGACAUUGGG
rnacentral:rRNA from 1 species